CAAAAAAAAAAAAAAAACUACAGUUGACAACUUGUUGACUUAGCAGUUAUUUCUCCAGCAGCAGAAUAUUUGUUUUAUUGAGGACUCACUUUAUUCCCUACACGUUUGGUUUUUAUAUUCACAUAUUUUGAACAUUAAAUUGUUACCAUCAUUUUAUUUUUUUUUUCUCUCAAUAUUUUAGCUUUUAAUUAAUUUUUUUUUA